rnacentral:tRNA from 1 species
UGGCUCAGUGGUAGAGUACUUGUCUUACAUGCAUGAGGCCUUGGGUUUGAUUCCUUA